UACGAGGGGGGCUAGCGUUGCUCGGAAUCACUGGGCGUAAAGCGCACGUAGGCGGAUCUUUAAGUCAGGGGUGAAAUCCCGAGGCUCAACCUCGGAACUGCCUUUGAUACUGGGGAUCUCGAGUCCGGGAGAGGUGAGUGGAACUGCGAGUGUAGAGGUGAAAUUCGUAGAUAUUCGCAAGAACACCAGUGGCGAAGGCGGCUCACUGGCCCGGAACUGACGCUGAGGUGCGAAAGCGUGGGGAGCAAACAGG
rnacentral:rRNA from 1 species